rnacentral:rRNA from 1 species
CGCGUAGGCGGGGAGGUAAGUCGGGUGUGAAAUCCCUCGGCCCAACCGAGGAACUGCGCCCGAGACUGCUUCUCUUGAGUCCCGGAGAGGAAGAUGGAAUUCCCGGUGUAGCGGUGAAAUGUGUAGAGAUCGGGAGGAACACCGGUGGCGAAGGCGGUCUUCUGGACGGUGACUGACGCUGAGGCGCGAAAGCGUGGGGAGCAAACGG